rnacentral:scaRNA from 1 species
CACUGAUACAGAGAAGAUUAGCAUGCCCUUGCACAAGGAUAAAACGGACAAAUCGAUGAAUGGUCAAAAUUUGU